AUGGAGGAGGUCCUGGAGCAAAGACAGCAGCAGCCAGGCCCUGAAGGACAAGCAGGAACCACGUGGGGUAGUCUGGACCAGUGGAUGCACUUCUUCUUCUUCUUCUUUUUUUUUCAAUAUAUAUAUAUAUAUAUAUAUAUACUAUGCACUUCUAAAGGUCCUAAGCUGCCACCCAACAGGUAUGGCUGGUGGGCUGGUGGGUGUGGCUGGGCUGCUAGAAUUUUGAGUGGUGGAACUCCACACUCCAGCUUUGUGGGAAAUCCACAGAGAACAAGUUACACCUUAAUGUGUCUGUUCCCUGACACUUCCCUUUGCUCUUCUCUCUUCCCAGUUGCCAUCUUUGGAUUUCUCCUCCCUCAGCCUCUUCUUGGAAGUGGAUACAGCAGCCUCUGCUAUCCUGAAAAGUUCAAGCACCCCAUGAGCACCUCAGGCAGGGAGUGGCCAGGCCAGGCCAGACAGAGAUGAAGGUCUCAUCAUAGCAUCAUCUCAUCCAAGGAGACCCUAGGUCUGAGCCCCAGUCUCCUUUUGCCAAGCUGGGGAGAACCUGGACCAUUGGCCAAGCUCCUGUGACACAGUUUCUCUGUCAGUUAAAGGGGCAGAAGUGGCAGGGUGGUGAAUGAAAGGGCAUUUGCUUCAGUACACAGGUCACAGUAAAGUGCUGCAAUGUCUACCAAGAAAGGCUGUGGGGGUCUGGGAGGUCCCUCUAGAGAAAUAAGGCUUGGCCUGUUAUGCGUAUCUGGGAGCUUGUGUGGUCUCUCUCCUGCCUCGACCCUGACAGCCAAGCUCAAGGCAUCCUGGUUGGUAUUUACUGGGCUGUGCCUCCCCAAGCCUGUCCUUUGCUUAAAGGCAUAUUUAUUUCAGUAGCUUCAGAUGCCACCUUCUCUUACCCUUCCCAACAUAGUCUACUCUAACCAAUGACCCUAAAGGAUAACAUCUGUGAUUUAAUCAUGGCUAGCAAAAAGGGCUGGGGCCAGCACACAUACCUCCACCAGCCCCAAACCUGGUCUUGGCCUCCAGGCCUAAGUCCUCCAUGCCAGUGGACACAGGAAGCUGGCUUUCCCAAGCCUCUUGGUCAAGUGAUAACCAAGGACUGGGCUGAAAUUUGGACUCGCCAGGGGCACUGGAGUGGCACCUGCUGUUUUCACCAAUAGGCUCCGACAUGGAGAAAUUAUGGCCCUGCUUUUCCAGGUGGUGCCACCCUGGGCCAUGGCUUGCUCCUUUCCCCUCGGUUUCCACCCUCAAUUUCCCUGUUUGCAUGGAAGCAGCGUUUACAGUCGAGAGAACUCAAGACUGUUUAUCUGGGGUCCUGCCCUGGCCUCCAGGUGGUGUAAGUCAGCAUGAGUGGGGCAAAGUCGUGGUUCUGGACAUGUGUCGUGCUGUCUAAACUCUCUUCCUCCAGCCCUUGCAGGUCCCCAAAGGAGACAUGAGGCCAUCCCUAUGUAUAGAGUACCCUGUCACCUAGGCACGCAGCUGAGAGCCACUCAUAGGCCUGAAUGCCUGGCACCCUGGCACCUGCCAUCUCUAUGGAGAUGGUCACUGCUAGUCAAAAAGUUCCCUAGGAGGAAGCGGUGAGGGCAGAGCCAGGAAGCUGUGUCUGCAUUUGUGUGUAAGAUGGUGGGCUGGGUCCUGACACAGCUGAUCUGUUUUGGACCCCUCUGCAAAUGCUAUCAGGGUUACUCUGUGCCCCCUGGAAGGAUCAAGAAAAUUUCCCUCCCACCUUUCCCUCAAUGUUUGAACCUAUUGCAUCUGGAAAAUCUGACUUCUGUUUGAAUCACCAGAGCCCUUCACAUACUCUGUUUCCAUAUAAUCUGUCAGAUGCUACCUGACCACUAGGAAAAUCCCACCUGUGCAGGGGUUUGUAUGGUACAUUGCUGUCUUGUGGUGACAUGACCUUUAAGGGUUUGAAAUCAGAGACCUGAUGCUCUCUCAGGGAAGGGAUGAGCAGAGGGUCACCAAACCCUAGAUUCCACCGCUGUCCUCUCCUGGUCCCCUAGUGCGUGUGAUCCUACCUCUGCUGUCCAUGGCCUCUGGAGGUGCUGGAGGGGGACUUUCAGUGAUGCCGCUGGGAGACCAUGUUCCAUUGAGAACCCCUCCCCAAGGUUCCAAUAAGCCCAGGGAGUAUACUGGUUCACAGAGCUGCACUUGACCUGUUGUCUUUGUCUCCACUCCUUGAACAGUCUCAUCUUGGAUCAGGCUGUUCCCCAUCUCCACGGCGGCUCUCUCAUUCAUCCCAACUGUGAUUUUAGUGACUGGGGGAAGGGAGAGGCCCCAGUGCGGCUCCUGUCCUUACUAGGUUGUCAGGCCUUCUUCCUUCAUGGAAAGUCAGGUUGACACUACAAAACUGAAAGGGGCCCCAGGCAUGCACAUAUAUCCCUCACUGGCCAUGCAUUCCUCUACGCCAUAAGCACAGAUCAGUGGCAGCUUGGAGACACACUGCGUGACAGUACACUCAGAAACUGUAAUGUCCUGUCAUGGAUUAAAUUGAGGCCCCAGAAAUCCAAGGCUUUUGAGUCCAAUUUAAAUUGAAUCCGGUGGCACUAAUCUGAAGAUAACAUCAUUAUGGAAACUGGAAAGAGACAGACACAAAAGGGUAGUGAAAGAUGCUCGGGUGGGGUGGGCUGAGGGAUGUGCCCACAGGUCAAGAUGGCAGCUGCGCAGGCCAGAUGAUCCAGAGUCUUCUAAGGCGGGGAAGCCCUUUCCAUGCCCUGACCAUGCCAUCCAGGCUCUAGGGCUAAGCAAAGGUGGACUGUGUUCCUUGGUAGUCACUUGGCUCAGCCCCUGGGAAAUGGUACACCACUUCAUGGAGGUGGUGGUGCCCAGGCCUAAACUCAAGUCGUCCCAUCAGCCAAACUCUCCCUACCAGAAACCAAGCCCCCCUCCUCGUGAGUGUUCCCAGCACCUUCACUCUGUAAAUAACUUCACAGGACCAUAUGGAACAGGUUUUAUUCUUUGUCCUGUCUAUGAGCAGCUGAGGCUCAGAGAAGCUGUGUCAUCUGCACAAAGCCACACAGCAAGAGGGGUGAGUUUGGGGUCUGGGUAGGUACAGAUUAUUUUAUAUAAUACACACUCAGGGACAAAGAAUUGAGACUCCCUAAAACUCUGGUGGUAAAAAGGUGACCAUUCAUCCCCCUCUGUGUGUGUGUGUGUGUUUUGCAGGUAUACAUGUUCAAGUGUGUGUGUGUGUGUGUGUGUGUGUGUGUGUGUGUGUGUGUGAAGCUGUGGAGGCCAGAGAUCAAUGCUCAAUAUCAUUCUCAAAUGCUCUUCAUCUUGUCUUUUGAGACAGGGUCUCAUGAUAAACCUGGAGCUCACCAGUUCAGCAGGUCUAGCUGCCAGCAAGCCUCAGGAAUCCAUCUGUCUCCACCUCCCCAGCACCGGGAUUAUAGGUAUGUAUCACCACUCCUGGCUUUAAUAUGGGAUCCGGGGACCCAAACUCAGGUCUGCGUGUCUAUGUGGCAAGCACUGUGCCAACUGAACCAUCUCUCCAGCCUCUCUGGUUUUUAUUUUUGACAUGCUUCACCAUGAACACAAUGCAAAUUUAUUUCCAAAAUCAACAUUUCCUCCCAACAGUUGUUUCCUUUUCAGUGUUUCCUUGGGGCUGUGGGCUCUGAAGGUGUUGGUGACAAUGACCAUGAUGGUACCAGGGAUGGUGGCAUCUAUUGUCAAGCCCAUGUAGGUUACUAUUACAUGACUUUCCAGGGAUACAAGAAACAUCUAUUCACCCUAGAUAGGGCACCAUGAGAUCAAAGCAUGAUUCUAUCCAGCUUGCUGAACCAAUGAGCUCAUUGGGGUUAAUUACUUACAAGAGUAUUGGUGACCAAUAAACAGCCGAAUCACAGAAAAAACA
rnacentral:lncRNA from 1 species